AAAGGAAUUGACGGGGAGCACCACGAACGGGUGGAGCUUGCGGUUUAAUUGGAUUCAACGCGGAAAUCUUACCGGGACCGACAGCAAUAUGAAGGCCAGGCUGAAGACUUUGCCGGAUUAGCUGAGAGGUGGUGCAUGGCCGUCGUCAGUUCGUACUGUGAAGCAUCCUGUUAAGUCAGGCAACGAGCGAGACCCACGCCCACAGUUGCCAGCGUACUCUCCGGAGUGACGGGUACACUGUGGGGACCGCCGCUGCUAAAGCGGAGGAAGGAAUGGGCAACGGUAGGUCAGUAUGCCCCGAAUAUCCCGGGCUACACGCGAGCUACAAUGGUUGGUACAAUGGGUAUCUACCCCGAAAGGGGACGGGAAUCUCCUAAAACCAAUCUUAGUUCAGAUUGUAGGCUGCAACUCGCCUGCAUGAAGCUGGAGUUGCUAGUAACCGCAGGUCAGCUAUACUGCGGUGAAUACGUUCCCGGGUCUU
rnacentral:rRNA from 1 species